rnacentral:rRNA from 1 species
AUUGAACGCUGGCGGUAGGCCUAACACAUUCCAGUCUAACGGCAGCACAGUAUGAGCUUGCUCUUACGGUUGGCGAGUGGCGGACUGGUUAGUACUACAUCUGAAUCUACUUUUUCGUGGUUUAUAACGUAUGGAAGCUUACUCUCCUACCGCAUACGACCUUCGGGUGAAAGCAGUGGAUCUUCGGACCUUGCGCGAUUUAAUGAGCCGAUGUCGGAUUAGCUAGUUGGCGGGGUAAAGGCCCACCAAGGCGACGAUCCGUAGCUGGUCUGAGAGGAUGAGCAGCCACACUGGAAAUGAGGCACGGUCCAGACUCCUACGGGAGGCAGCAGUGGGGAAUAUUGGACAAUGGGCGCAAGCCUGAUCCAGCCAUACCGCGUGGGGGAAGAAGGCCUUCGGGUUGGAAAGCCCUUUUGUUGGGAAAGAAAAGCAGCAGGUUAAUACCCCGCUGUUCUGACGGUACCCAAAGAAUAAGCAACGGCUAACUUCGUG